UUUUACGAUUAUGUUCCUUAAGAUACCUUCACAUUUCACAUAAGAAGUAAAUAGAUUGUAUAAUGUAAUAUUAAUCGUAAAUCGUUAAAUUAAAUAGACCGUUUAAUAUAUCGUUAAUCGUAAAUAGUUAACUUAAAUGCUUUAUUAAUAAGACACGUUAACAAGAUACUUAUUAAAAAGACACAUACAAAUAUUGCUCAUUUUAAAUAUUUAAGUCAUUUAAAAAAUACAUAUCAGUGAAUACAGCAAGAGGCCAAAAGUUUCUUUAAUUUGGGAUUAAUCACCAAGAUCAAUCAAAACAGAGCUAGCUGCAUCGAAUGUGGUAAAGAUUGCGAGGUGCCUAGUGGUAGCACAACAGGGAUGAGAAGCCAUUUUAAAACAAAACACAAGACCAGCUUUGAAACACUAGUAGCAAAAGGAGCCAGGGUAAAAGCAAUAUCAAAAGCUACAACUUUCGAUGUCGAUGCAUGCUUUGACUCUGAUAACAACUAUAUACUUGACUCCUCUUCUAGUACUGGGCUAUCAAGAGCAGCCACUGUCAGAACCCCAGCCAGAAAAAGGUCAAGAAAAGAGCAAAUAUCUGGCGACGUAACACCAGCAAAGCGACAAAGAGUAUUUACCAAAAGUCAAGGCGGAGAUAGAAAGGUGUUUAACAACAGCACCGAUUCAUGAUAAUGGGAAUAUAAUUCGUUACAGAAAGAACCAAUUGUUUAAGUAUCCCAAACUUGCCCGCUUUGCCAGAAGAAAAUUGGCAAUUCCAACAGCUUCCUCCAGCUCUGAACAAGUGUUUAUCAACAGCUGUAUAUAUCUGUGGUGACAGGAGAACAAAUCUGUCAGCAUCCAAAAUUGAAAAACUUGAUUAUAUAAUAGAAAACUUAAGACAAAUAAAGAAAAUGAAUGAUUUCAACAACUUUAUAGUUUGAUUCAAUUUUUUGAAAAAAAAUUGAUUUUUUUUUUUCUUGUAAAUUUUCUUUGCCAUUAUUGUAGCACAAUAGCAAAUAACAAUGACCAAAUAAAAUUUAAGUUUUGAA